ACCUUGGCAUGUCAAAGGAAUGCGCAAGGUACUCAUAGGGCUCAGGAACCCUAUGGGUAACGCUAGGUCGGGUGGACUAGCGUUGGGCAUCGAAAAAGGCUAGAGGUUGGCUAUAUGAACCGACAAGCCCCGCGGGCUGUCUAAAUGAUGGAAGGAUGCCUCAAAGCCGAUAGAGAAAUUGAGAUACUCUACCCAAGAGACUCGUGAGCUAACUUGUGAGCUUGGUCAAAGUUCAACCAAGCGAGCAAGGGUCCGUUGGCCUAGACGCGCAGUUGUGGGGCGACACUGUGCUACGGAAGUUGGAUGCAAGUUGCGUGGGAUAUGUUUGCUAUGCCACAAGACAUGAGAGGGCAUAUCUAAGAAAGACGCUUGAGACAAGGCCAAGGAUUGCGGGUUGCCCUACUCGGGCAAAGCAUAAGCUAAGUGCACAUACACGAGGCGAUGUCAAGCUUGAGAAUAGAGUUGUGCAUGCGAUGGCAAUGGUCAGGCCAAGGUGAGGGACGAGUAUGUCCGUAGCCAUACCCAGGGGCACAUAUGGACAAGAUCCAAGGAUUAAAGGUGCGCCAGAAAAGUUGCUUAUACGUCGGCCAUGAUGGCCGACACGUUGAAGGAGCGGCACCAAAGGGGGCAAGCCUCUGUGGCGAGCUUCCCACAGGCACAGGAUCGUGCUAAAGACUUGGGAAAUGAGGAAGGCUGGCCUAUGGUCGGGGGAACCAUGGGCACCACAUGGGAAAAAUUGUGUACCGCUGACGCAGCGAAAAAUGAGCCCGUGACACUAAGCUUUGUAUACAUUAGCAUGGGAUAACAUUAUAGGAUUUCAGUCCUAUUACGUUGGCCUUCGGGGUCGGAGUAAUGAUUAACAAGGACAGUCGGGGGCAUUCGUAUUUCAUAGUUAGAGGUGAAAUUCUUGGAUUUAUGAAAGACGAACAACUGUGAAAGCAUUUGCCAAGGAUGUUUUCAUUAAUCAAGAACAAAAGUUGGGGGAUCGAAGACGAUCAGAUACCGUCCUAGUCUCAACCAUAAACGAUGCCGACCAGGGAUCGGUGGAUGUUUCUUUUAGGACUGCGCCAGCACCUUAUGAGAAAUGAAAGUUUUUGGGUUCCGGGGGGAGUAUGGUUGGAAGGCUGAAACUUAAAGGAAUUGACGGAAAGGCACCACCAGGAGUGGAGCCUGCGGCUUAAUUUGACUCAACACGGGGAAACUUACCAGGUCCAGACAUAGUAAGGAUUGACAGACUAAGAGCUCUUUCUUGAUUCUAUGGGUGGUGGUGCAUGGCCGUUAUUAGUUAGUGGAGCGAUUUGUUUGGUAAAUUCUAUUAACGAAUGAGACCUCAUCCUGCUAACUAGCUAUGCAGAGGUAUACCUUCACGGCCAGCUUCUUAGAAGGACUACGGCCUUUUAGGCCGCGGAAGUUUGAGGCAAUAACAGGUCUGUGAUGCCCUUAGAUGUUCUGGGCCGCACGCGCGCUACACUGAUGUAUUCAACGAGUCUAUAGCCUUGGCCGACAGGCCCGGGUAAUCUUUGAAAUUUCAUCGUGAUGGGGAUAGAUCAUUGCAAUUGUUGGUCUUCAACGAGGAAUUCCUAGUAAGCACGAGUCAUAAGCUCGCGUUGACAUGUCCCUGCCCUUUGUACACACCGUCCGUCGCUACUACUGAUUGAAUGAUCCAAUGAAAUGUUCUGAUCGCAGCGACAUGGGUGGUUUGCUGCCCGCAACAUCGCGAGAAGUCCAUUGAACCUUAUCAUUUAGAGAAAGGAGAAGUCGUAACAAGGUUUUCGUAGGUGAACCUGCGGAAG
rnacentral:rRNA from 1 species